UACGUAGGUGGCAAGCGUUGUCCGGAUUUACUGGGCGUAAAGAGCGCGCAGGCGGUCGUUCAAGUCGCGUGUGAAAGCCCCCGGCUCAACUGGGGAGGGUCACGCGAUACUGAUCGACUCGAAGGCAGGAGAGGGAAGUGGAAUUCCCGGUGUAGUGGUGAAAUGCGUAGAUAUCGGGAGGAACACCAGUGGCGAAGGCGACUUCCUGGCCUGUUCUUGACGCUGACGGCGCGAAAGCUAGGGGAGCAAACGGGG
rnacentral:rRNA from 1 species